rnacentral:rRNA from 1 species
GAUGAACGCUGGCGGCGUGCCUAAUACAUGCAAGUCGAGCGAAUGGAUUAAGAGCUUGCUCUUAUGAAGUUAGCGGCGGACGGGUGAGUAACACGUGGGUAACCUGCCCAUAAGACUGGGAUAACUCCGGGAAACCGGGGCUAAUACCGGAUAACAUUUUGAACCGCAUGGUUAGAAAUUGAAAGGCGGCUUCGGCUGUAACUUAUGGAUGGACCCGCGUCGCCUUAGUUAGUUGGUGAGGGAACGGCUCACCAAGGCAACGAGGCGUAGCCGACCUGAGAGGGUGAUCGGCCACACUGGGACUGAGACACGGCCCAGAAUCCUACGGGAGGCAGCAGUAGGGAAUCUUCCGCAAUGGACGAAAGUCUGACGGAGCAACGCCGCGUGAGUGAUGAAGGCUUUCGGGUCGUAAAACUCUGUUGUUAGGGAAGAACAAGUGCUAGUUGAAUAAGCUGGCACCUUGACGGUACCUAACCAGAAAGCCACGGCUAACUACGUGCCAGCAGCCGCCGUAA